rnacentral:lncRNA from 1 species
CUGAAGAGAGACUGGGGUCCCUUCCCCAGAUCUCCUGUGCAAAUCUGGCAAACUAUUUCCUCAAUUUUCUUAGAUUCCUCUGCAUCAAACAAGGAUGAUAACAAUGCUGCUUGCUUUUGUGCUAAGGGCCCUUUGUUUAGAUUGGGUCCUUGAUGCAAUGUGUUGUGAAUGUUGACCUGUAAUGAAAGCAACUGUACGUUUGAAAAUGCUGAGAACCCAGCUAUCUGUGCACACCAUCUCUCUGCAUACAUCUUGUUUGGGCAAUACAAUUAGCAAAGAAUAAGCUUGACAUUAACACUACAUUUUAUCACAAUCUCUGGGAAGAUAAGCCCAUGCAGAGAGCUGCGGGCCUUCCAGCCUCGUGAGAAGGACGUGAGGAAGAUCACACAGGUGUGGUGGUUUUAUGCAGGAAGAGGAAAUCAUAGGAGAGAGCUGCUCCUGCACUGUGCAAUGUCAAGAAAAGCUGCCUCAGUUGGAUUAAGGAGUUUAGCAUAAAAGUUAGGAUUAUUGGCUCUAUUGUUGCUGAAAGCAUCUUUGCAAAGCUUAUUUGAAUGCUCUCUUGAGUCCCACAUGAGGUCACAAAACAAGUCGUGGUAUUGAUGUGUGUUAAUACUGCUGUCAGGGCUUCCAUUCUCCAGAACAGUUCAGUCUUCAGGAACUAAUUUUGCCUUGUCAGGUUAUAAAAAGAAGUUACAUCUCUCAGGCUGUUAGACCUUGUCGGGGUUUCAGAUCUGUAACAGGUUAAAAUUCUGAAAGAUAGGCUGAUUCCUCCAUGUUUCUAUGGUAGACGGAGUAGGCAUGGAUUUUAUGGAUAGCUUUUAUGAAUGAAACGUUAAACCAAGAACGUGCCCUCUCCAUGUUGAGAUAGAUGAUCAUUACAUGCUCCAUUUCCCACGGACCAGUAUUUGUCCAGUAUCCUUGCUCGAAAUACUGCCUCAGCACUCUGUUACUGUAAUGACAGAAAUGACUUCCUGCUAUUCGUAAUUCUGAGUGCAGCCAUAAGGAAUGUUUGAGCAAGCA